rnacentral:rRNA from 1 species
GACGAACGCUGGCGGCGUGCUUAACACAUGCAAGUCGAACGGAAAGGCCCUGCUUUUGUGGGGUGCUCGAGUGGCGAACGGGUGAGUAACACGUGAGUAACCUGCCCUUGACUUUGGGAUAACUUCAGGAAACUGGGGCUAAUACCGGAUAGGAGCUCCUGCUGCAUGGUGGGGGUUGGAAAGUUUCGGCGGUUGGGGAUGGACUCGCGGCUUAUCAGCUUGUUGGUGGGGUAGUGGCUUACCAAGGCUUUGACGGGUAGCCGGCCUGGGAGGGUGACCGGACACAUUGGGACUGAGAUGCGACCCAGACUCCUACGGGAGGCAGCGGUGGGGAAUAUUGCACAAUGGGCGGAAGCCUGAUGCAGCAACGCCGCGUGCGGUAUGACGGCCUUCGGGUUGUAAACCGCUUUCGCCUGUGACGAAGCGUGAGUGACGGUAAUGGGUAAAGAAGCACCGGCUAACUACGUG